GACGAACCGUGCAAACGUUAUUCGGAAUCACUGGGCAUAAAGGGCGCGUAGGCGGCUCCAAAAGUCAGGGGUGAAAUCCGGCAGCUUAACUGUCGCAGUGCCUUUGAUACUGUGGAGCUAGAGGGAGGUAGGGGUCUGUGGAACUCCGGUGGAGCGGUGAAAUGCGUUGAUAUCGGAAGGAACGCCGGUGGCGAAAGCGACGGACUGGAUCUCUUCUGACGCUGAGGCGCGAAAGCCAGGGGAGCAAACGGG
rnacentral:rRNA from 1 species